UUGCUUGUGAUGAUGACAAAUGUCCCAAACAGCUGAUUGUCUAUGAGGCUUGUUUAUGAGCUUUUUAACCCUGAGCAAG